AACGAACGCUGGCGGCAUGCCUAACACAUGCAAGUCGAACGAGACCUUCGGGUCUAGUGGCGCACGGGUGCGUAACACGUGGGAAUCUGCCCUUUGCUUCGGAAUAACAGUUAGAAAUGACUGCUAAUACCGGAUGAUGUCGAAAGACCAAAGAUUUAUCGGCAAAGGAUGAGCCCGCGUAGGAUUAGGUAGUUGGUGGGGUAAAGGCCUACCAAGCCGACGAUCCUUAGCUGGUCUGAGAGGAUGAUCAGCCACACUGGGACUGAGACACGGCCCAGACUCCUACGGGAGGCAGCAGUGGGGAAUAUUGGACAAUGGGCGAAAGCCUGAUCCAGCAAUGCCGCGUGAGUGAUGAAGGCCUUAGGGUUGAAAAGCUCUUUUACCAGGGAUGAUAAUGACAGUACCUGGAGAAUAAGCUCCGGCUAACUCCGUG
rnacentral:rRNA from 1 species